GCAAACUUGGUCAUUUAGAGGAAGUAAAAGUCGUAACAAGGUUUCCGUAGGUGAACCUGCGGAAGGAUCAUUAACGAAUAUCUAUGGCGUUGGUUGUAGCUGGCUCUUAGGAGCAUUUUGUGCACGCCCGUCAUUCAUAUCAUCUUUCCACCUGUGAACCAUAUGUAGGCCUGGAUACCUCUCGCUUUGGCAACGGAGCGGAUGCAAGGAUUGCUGCGUCAACAAGGCCGGCUCUCUUUGAAUUUCCAGGUUCUAUGUCUUUUACACACCCCAUUUGAAUGAUGUAGAAUGUAGUCAAUGGGCUUUUAUGCCUAUAAAACACUAUACAACUUUCAGCAACGGAUCUCUUGGCUCUCGCAUCGAUGAAGAACGCAGC
rnacentral:misc_RNA from 1 species